UACGAAGGGUGCAAACGUUGCUCGGAAUUAUUGGGCGUAAAGCGCACGUAGGCGGCUUUGCAAGUCCCAUGUGAAAGCCCACGGCUUAACCGUGGAAGUGCAUGGGAAACUGCGGAGCUUGAGUACUUAAGAGGAUCGUGGAAUUCCCGGUGUAGAGGUGAAAUUCGUAGAUAUCGGGAGGAACACCAGUGGCGAAGGCGGCCAACUGGUCCGGCACUGACGCUGAGGUGCGAAAGCGUGGGGAGCAACAGG
rnacentral:rRNA from 1 species